CGAAUUCUGAUAUUUCUAUCUGCAAAGGAAGUGUUUUGAGAUCCUUUUGUAGAAUACAAUCCAAAUCCAUCAUCCUCUGUACUAUGAUUGGCCUCGUUAUCUUUAUCUCAUUUUAGUUACCAUUUUCUCCAGUGUUUGACAGCUGGUGAUCUCAGACACAGUCAGAAUUAUGAAACAGUUUUUCUUCACCACAUUUGGACUCUUGUUUUGUUUCUCUUCUAGAACUCCUCUCAUUGGACACCCAUUGUCUUAUUAGACUUGCUUAUAGAAUCAGACCUCAGGAUGUGCCUUGGAGAAAAGGAAUUUACAAUUAUUUCUUGUCAUCAAAGAUACAUAGGCUAGUCUUGAAGCAUUAAAUAAUAUUUUUUGGUAGUCACUGAUGUAAUCUUCAGCGAUUCUGAUUUCUCAGUCUGUAAGCACUGAUAAGGACCAUUCCAGAUUAGUCCUCUUCAUAGUCUCAGAGGUCCUCUCUUCUUUCCUUGGAGUCACCCAGUGUACCUAAUACCUCAAGCACUGCAUAAAGAAGGAGAAGCUCAAUCAAGUUAUCCUCUCAUCUGUGUCUGCAAGAAAUGGGUAAUUUUGGUGCAGAGGUUCUUUCAGGAGACUAUGAUGAGGUUUGGAUGUGAAAAUUGGCUAGACUUUCCAAAAGGAAAAUCCUGUAUAUGAAGACUUGUUUAGGGGGAAAAAAAUUCUUGGACUAAUUAGACUUCCUACUCCUGCAUAUUUGAGUCAACAGACAUUGUGUACUGCUUCCUUGGCAAAACCAUGCAAAGAGGAUCAGACAGAACUUUGGCUUCCCUAUCUUCCUAACAGACUGGAAUUUCGGAAGGGAGAGUUGUAUGUUUUUACAUCUGACUUCAAUUAUUUAUUUUAUGAACCAUCCUAACACAGGAUUGGCACCAAAACAAACAAAUAAAUC
rnacentral:lncRNA from 1 species